CUGUUGUUGUUUCACAAGGGAGCGAUUGUCCCACUUUCCACAUUUUGUAGCGGGACAAGCCGCAGACAAAACCCCUCAGACACCCAGUUAAAGAAGGAAGGGCUUUAUUCAGCCGGGAGCUUCGGCAAGACACAUCUCCAACAACUGAGCUCCCCAAGUGAGCAAUUCCUGUCCCUUUUAAGAGCUCACAAUUCUAAGGGGGUCCAUGUGAGAGGGUCGUGUUCAACUGAGCAAGCAGCGGGUGUUAUGUGACACGGGAGCUUUCAGAAAAUGAAGACCCAAAGGAACAAGAGAUCUGUGGAUUUUCAUGGACAGUCAUCUGUGGAUUUUCGAGGACAGUCAUGCAGAAGCAUACUUGGAGAAUGGGGAUUAUCUUGAGACAGAGCCUCACUCUAUCAACACCUUGAUUUGGCUUUGUGAGACCCAGAGCAGGAAAAUCAAUCAAGCCCACCCAGACUUCUGACCUAAAGAACUGUGAGAUCAUGUGUUUGUGUUGUUUUAAACCUCUAAGUUUGUCGUCACUUGUUAGCGCAGCAAUAGGAAACACAAGUGCCUGUUUGUGGGUAGAACGCUGAAGUCAGACAGGUGUGUUCAAUCCUUUCACUGUCACUUAAGUGCUUUUCAACCUCUCUAAGCUUUUGUAUCCUCAUUGUUGAAAAGAAUAAAUGGUGUAAAUUCCUAUUUAGCUUAGCUCACACAGGUUCUGGGAAAAUUCAAAGUUAUAACAUAUCAAAUGCCUCAUGUGCAACGGAUUCAUAAGCAAUAACCUCCAUACACAAGCCGUGCUCCUGUAUCCACGCCUUUGUCUUGCCUCUGAUGCUCUAAUUUCUUCACACCCACCUGCUACCCAUUCUCCAAGGCCCAUCAACAAUGUCACCUCUUAGGCAGAACUUCUGUGACCCAUCAAAUACAAGUAAUAUCUUUGUCAUGAAUUCUUGUAGCGUGCCAUGUUUACCUCUCUCUGUCAGAGUAAGAUUAAAGCUCAGGUCUCUGAUUUCUGUCGAACAUUAGGAAACAACAGAAAUGAAAUGCAGAACGUUAAAAGUUCCUAUAGGGCCCUGGUCAUUGCACCACUGAGCUCUGGGAGCAGGUGCAGGUAGAAGGUACCGCUCGCCCCCCAACCAGCAGUCUAUGCACUCUCUGAAUCCCAGUCAUCGCCUCUCAGGAUGAAAACUAUGUACUAGUAAGGAAGGAGACCACUACUCCUCCUGCUGCCCUCCUCCCCCCACCU